GAUUAAGUUAUUAAGGGCGCACGGUGGAUGCCUUGGCACUAGAAGCCGAUGAAGGACGUUACUAACGACGAUAUGCUUUGGGUAGCUGUAAGUAAGCGUUGAUCCAGAGAUUUCCGAAUGGGGGAACCCAGCAUGAGUUAUGUCAUGUUAUCGACAUGUGAAUUCAUAGCAUGUCAGAAGGCAGACCCGGAGAACUGAAACAUCUUAGUACCCGGAGGAAGAGAAAGAAAAAUCGAUUCCCUGAGUAGCGGCGAGCGAAACGGGAAGAGCCCAAACCAACAAGCUUGCUUGUUGGGGUUGUAGGACACUCUAUACGGAGUUACAAAAGAACAUGUUAGACGAAUCAUCUGGAAAGAUGAAUCAAAGAAGGUAAUAAUCCUGUAGUCGAAAACAUAUUCUCUCUUGAGUGGAUCCUGAGUACGACGGAGCACGUGAAAUUCCGUCGGAAUCUGGGAGGACCAUCUCCUAAGGCUAAAUACUCUCUAGUGACCGAUAGUGAACCAGUACCGUGAGGGAAAGGUGAAAAGUACCCCGGAAGGGGAGUGAAAGAGAACUUGAAACCGUGUGCUUACAAGUAGUCAGAGCCCGUUAAUGGGUGAUGGCGUGCCUUUUGUAGAAUGAACCGGCGAGUUACGAUUUGAUGCAAGGUUAAGCAGCAAAUGUGGAGCCACAGCGAAAGCGAGUCUGAAUAGGGCGUUGAGUAUUUGGUCGUAGACCCGAAACCAGGUGAUCUACCCUUGGUCAGGUUGAAGUUCAGGUAACACUGAAUGGAGGACCGAACCGACUUACGUUGAAAAGUGAGCGGAUGAACUGAGGGUAGCGGAGAAAUUCCAAUCGAACUUGGAGAUAGCUGGUUCUCUCCGAAAUAGCUUUAGGGCUAGCCUCAAGUGAUGAUUAUUGGAGGUAGAGCACUGUUUGGACGAGGGGCCCCUCUCGGGUUACCGAAUUCAGACAAACUCCGAAUGCCAAUUAAUUUAACUUGGGAGUCAGAACAUGGGUGAUAAGGUCCGUGUUCGAAAGGGAAACAGCCCAGACCACCAGCUAAGGUCCCAAAAUAUAUGUUAAGUGGAAAAGGAUGUGGCGUUGCCCAGACAACUAGGAUGUUGGCUUAGAAGCAGCCAUCAUUUAAAGAGUGCGUAAUAGCUCACUAGUCGAGUGACACUGCGCCGAAAAUGUACCGGGGCUAAACAUAUUACCGAAGCUGUGGAUUGUCCUUUGGACAAUGGUAGGAGAGCGUUCUAAGGGCGUCGAAGCAUGAUUGCAAGGACAUGUGGAGCGCUUAGAAGUGAGAAUGCCGGUGUGAGUAGCGAAAGACGGGUGAGAAUCCCGUCCACCGAUUGACUAAGGUUUCCAGAGGAAGGCUCGUCCGCUCUGGGUUAGUCGGGUCCUAAGCUGAGGCCGACAGGCGUAGGCGAUGGAUAACAGGUUGAUAUUCCUGUACCACCUAGUAUCGUUUUAAUCGAUGGGGGGACGCAGUAGGAUAGGCGAAGCGUGCUGUUGGAGUGCACGCCCAAGCAGUAAGGCUGAGUGUUAGGCAAAUCCGGCACUCAUAAAGCUGAGCUGUGAUGGGGAGAGGAAAUUGUUUCCUCGAGUCGUUGAUUUCACACUGCCGAGAAAAGCCUCUAGAUAGAUAACAGGUGCCCGUACCGCAAACCGACACAGGUAGUCAAGAUGAGAAUUCUAAGGUGAGCGAGCGAACUCUCGUUAAGGAACUCGGCAAAAUGACCCCGUAACUUCGGGAGAAGGGGUGCUCUUUAGGGUUCACGCCCAGAAGAGCCGCAGUGAAUAGGCCCAAGCGACUGUUUAUCAAAAACACAGGUCUCUGCUAAACCGUAAGGUGAUGUAUAGGGGCUGACGCCUGCCCGGUGCUGGAAGGUUAAGAGGAGUGGUUAGCUUCUGCGAAGCUACAAAUCGAAGCCCCAGUAAACGGCGGCCGUAACUAUAACGGUCCUAAGGUAGCGAAAUUCCUUGUCGGGUAAGUUCCGACCCGCACGAAAGGCGUAACGAUUUGGGCACUGUCUCAACGAGAGACUCGGUGAAAUCAUAGUACCUGUGAAGAUGCAGGUUACCCGCGACAGGACGGAAAGACCCCGUGGAGCUUUACUGUAGCCUGAUAUUGAAAUUCGGCACAGCUUGUACAGGAUAGGUAGGAGCCUUUGAAACGUGAGCGCUAGCUUACGUGGAGGCGUUGGUGGGAUACUACCCUAGCUGUGUUGGCUUUCUAACCCGCACCACUUAUCGUGGUGGGAGACAGUGUCAGGCGGGCAGUUUGACUGGGGCGGUCGCCUCCUAAAAGGUAACGGAGGCGCUCAAAGGUUCCCUCAGAAUGGUUGGAAAUCAUUCAUAGAGUGUAAAGGCAUAAGGGAGCUUGACUGCGAGACCUACAAGUCGAGCAGGGUCGAAAGACGGACUUAGUGAUCCGGUGGUUCCGCAUGGAAGGGCCAUCGCUCAACGGAUAAAAGCUACCCCGGGGAUAACAGGCUUAUCUCCCCCAAGAGUUCACAUCGACGGGGAGGUUUGGCACCUCGAUGUCGGCUCAUCGCAUCCUGGGGCUGUAGUCGGUCCCAAGGGUUGGGCUGUUCGCCCAUUAAAGCGGUACGCGAGCUGGGUUCAGAACGUCGUGAGACAGUUCGGUCCCUAUCCGUCGUGGGCGUAGGAAAUUUGAGAGGAGCUGUCCUUAGUACGAGAGGACCGGGAUGGACAUACCUCUGGUGUACCAGUUGUCGUGCCAACGGCAUAGCUGGGUAGCUAUGUAUGGACGGGAUAAGUGCUGAAAGCAUCUAAGCAUGAAGCCCCCCUCAAGAUGAGAUUUCCCAACUUCGGUUAUAAGAUCCCUCGAAGAUGACGAGGUUAAUAGGUUCGAGGUGGAAGCGUGGUGACACGUGUAGCUGACGAAUACUAAUCGAUCGAAGACUUAAUCAA
rnacentral:rRNA from 1 species